AGUGAGCGCUGGCGGUAGGCCUAACACAUGCCAGUCGAACGGCAGCACAGUAAGAGCUUGCUCUUACGGGUGGCGAGUGGCGGACGGGUGAGGAAUACAUCGGAAUCUACUUUUUCGUGGGGGAUAACGUAGGGAAACUUACGCUAAUACCGCAUACGACCUACGGGUGAAAGCAGGGGAUCUUCGGACCUUGCGCGAUUGAAUGAGCCGAUGUCGGAUUAGCUAGUUGGCGGGGUAAAGGCCCACCAAGGCGACGAUCCGUAGCUGGUCUGAGAGGAUGAUCGGCCACACUGGAACUGAGACACGGUCCAGACUCCUACGGGAGGCAGCAGUGGGGAAUAUUGGACAAUGGGCGCAAGCCUGAUCCAGCCAUACCGCGUGGGUGAAGAAGGCCUUCGGGUUGUAAAGCCCUUUUGUUGGGAAAGAAAAGCAGCGGGUUAAUACCCCGCUGUUCUGGCGGUACCCAAAGAAUAAGCACCGGCUAACUUCGUG
rnacentral:rRNA from 1 species